AGUCGAACGGAGCUUAGAGAGCUUGCUUUUUAAGCUUAGUGGCGAACGGGUGAGUAACGCGUGAGUAACCUGCCCUAGAGUGGGGGACAACAGUUGGAAACGACUGCUAAUACCGCAUAAGCCCACGGUGCCGCAUGACACUGAGGGAAGAGGAUUUAUUCGCUUUAGGAUGGACUCGCGUCCAAUUAGCUAGUUGGUGAGGUAACGGCCCACCAAGGCGACGAUUGGUAGCCGGACUGAGAGGUUGAACGGCCACAUUGGGACUGAGACACGGCCCAGACUCCUACGGGAGGCAGCAGUGGGGGAUAUUGCACAAUGGGGGAAACCCUGAUGCAGCGACGCCGCGUGGAGGAAGAAGGUUUUCGGAUUGUAAACUCCUGUCGUUAGGGACGAUAAUGACGGUACCUAACAAGAAAGCACCGGCUAACUACGUGCCAGCAGCCGCGGUAAAACGUAGGGUGCAAGCGUUGUCCGGAAUUACUGGGUGUAAAGGGAGCGCAGGCGGGAAGACAAGUUGGAAGUGAAAACCAUGGGCUCAACCCAUGAAUUGCUUUCAAAACUGUUUUUCUUGAGUAGUGCAGAGGUAGAUGGAAUUCCCGGUGUA
rnacentral:rRNA from 1 species